rnacentral:rRNA from 2 species
GGAUGCGAUCAUACCAGCACUAAAGCACCGGAUCCCAUCAGAACUCCGAAGUUAAGCGUGCUUGGGCGAGAGUAGUACUAGGAUGGGUGACCUCCUGGGAAGUCCUCGCGUUGCAUUCC